rnacentral:rRNA from 1 species
AGAGAAUAGAUACCCCGGUAGUCCACGCCGUAAACGAUGUGCACUAGACUGGUGCGGUUUUGACGCCGUAUCAGUCGCAGUAAAAACGAUAAGUGCACCGCCUGGGGAGUACGGUCGCAAGGCUAAAAUUCAAAUGAAUUGACGGGGGCUCACACAAGCGGUGGAGCAUGUUGCUUAAUUCGAGGCAACGCGAAGAACCUUACCUGGGCUUGACAUGUACGGAUUAACCCUAUGAAAGUAGGGCCACACCCGCAAGGGCGGAACGUGCACAGGUGCUGCAUGGCUGUCGUCAGCUCGUGCUGUGAAGUGUCGGGUUUAAGUCCCUUAACGAGCGCAACCCCUGUCGUUAGUUGCUCACGCGUCAUGGCGAGUACUCUAGCGAGACUGCCGGUGUCAAACCGGAGGAAGGUGGGGAUGACGUCAAGUCCUCAUGGCCCUUACGCCCAGGGUUGCAAACGUGCUACAAUGGUGCAUACAAAGCGAUGCGAGAUCGCGAGAUGGAGCAAAUCGCAAAAAUAGCACCC